AGAAACAGCUCUUCUACUCCCUUUACUCCAACUAACUUAGCCUCUUCAAGGCAGGAAUGAUAUCAUACUAGUUUCUCUAUGACAGUGCUUGCCACAUAACAGAAAUUCUAUAAAUACUGAAGAGCCUUUUUUGACAUUCUCAUUUGUUCUGCUGUGUAAUAGCAUGGGAUCUUUCAGAGCUGUCGACAUCUGCUCCACUCUAGAGAGCUGCAGAACCAAGCCAGCAGAGCAAUAAUAAUUAUGCCCAAAUGGGCUGAAAAGAAUGCAAGAGAUGAGAAGGAAGACAUGGAAAAAUACACCCAGUGCGAUGAUGUUCUAACCUGUAUCUACUGACCUGGUUAUCGCUUCUUCCUUUAAGGAGUAUUAGAACACUGCUGGGGAUGGGCUGACAAACAUACCAGGGAUUUUACUUUGUGUCAGCCAAGAGGCUUUCCUUACCUCCUUGUCUUCAGUACUCUUGUGCACAAGCAUGCUUCUCAGAGAAGGUGGAUUCUACCUUGGAAGGAAAUGAGUCGUUUCCUCCCAUCAGGACAACUGCCACAGCAUGGUGUCAACUCACUCUUGCCUUUCGUAAAUUGAGUUUGUCAGUGCUCAGCGACACAGCUGAGUGAAAUGUUGUGUGAUGCGGGCUGUCUCCUGGGAGAGAGAAACUGGCAUAAACCACAUCCUAAUGGGAUCCAGAAACAAAGAAGCGUGAAUGAAGUGUUAAUUGCAUUCAUAAAGACAUUAACAAAGGAAUUAAAAUGGCAGAAGCUUCAGUCCCCCACUCAAGAUUCACAGAAAAAUAUGUUAUCCAAAGAAUGUUUCAACAAUAAUCAUCAAAGUUUAUUGCUUGCCCAUUGGGGAAAUAACUCUUGAUACAUAUUAACUUUUCAAAGAACAUUUUGGGUCCAUUAUUUUGAGUAUAUUAACUAACAGACAGUUUAUUCCACCCUACCUCCAGUUCUUUGCUUGCUUUUGUAUGAUUUAAGUUUCAAAAAAAUCCAGAGGCAUUUUCAGUGCUGCUUCAUUAACCAUAAGGAUGUCUGUUAACAGUUUGAACCUAAUCAAUCCUACAGUUCUUAUUAGAGCAAAAUGCUCAUUAUCUGGGAGAAUUUUUGCUUUUUGAAAUAAAAUUACAAGACUGGGGGUUUAUUUUACAGUCCCUCUUGAAUAUUCCUGAGAUGAUCUGCAAUGUGGGCAACCCGGGGCUCCCUCCCCAGCCCUGUGGCAGGGCCCCCCAGCUGCUGACAGCGGGGCUAAGCUGGCAAAAGGUCAGGAGGCUGCAUUUCACUGAAGAUGGAUCGCACAGAUGAAUAUUGCGCUUGCUUAAUGAAGUCAAGGCCACGGAUUUGGGGCCUUUUAUGGUUCUUCUUGUUUCACUCAAUUUCACCUUCAUAGACCACGCCACUAAUCCCAGCCAAUCAUUUUGUAGAUAUGUGCAACUGGUGACUAAGGGACUAGAUAAAAGUAAAUGAAUCUAAAAAACAGUGACCAGAAAUUCAGAAAUCUCUGUGCCUAUAACAAACUCAGAAUUAAAAAAAAAA
ensembl:lncRNA LINC01649 long intergenic non-protein coding RNA 1649